rnacentral:tRNA from 1 species
CUUACAUACUGUAAAUAUAGUUUAAACAAAACACUAGAUUGUGGAUCUAAUAAUAGAAGCCUAAAUCUUCUUAUUUACC